UCCAGUCUAGUGGUAUGAUUCCUGCUUUGGGCUUAGCGUACCUAUUCUGCAGGAGGCCCCGGGUUCGAAUCCCGGUCAGGCC